GCGAAACAUCAAUGAAGGAAGAUCUCCCGCAGCUGGACUGAAGGGUUCGCUGGAGUUGCGACAGGAGGGAUGUGUGCUGCCGGUGUGCGGUGGGUGGCGUUAGUCCAGGAUCCCCCAGAUCUGUGGCCUUUCUGCAAAUCAGAGCCUUGUUUGUGUUUCCUCUGAUUGAGAACACAUUGGCCGGACCGGGGCGACUGGGGUCCGACUCUCCGGGGUCGUCCAGGCCCCUUCCUCUCCUCAGUAACCCUCCGCUGCCCUCAGAAGGGGGCGACCCGCGUGCCACCGAGACCAAACCUGGCAAGCAAACGCCCAACGGUCUUGGGUUACAACACAAUCUCUUCCUAAACCAUUAGUGAAGACGAGAAAGGAAUUCAACACAAACAGGACGCUGAAGUGCGAGACUCUACCAUCACAGUAUGAGGAGCGAUGUGAUCCACGCGCUCAGAGAAAGGCUGCGGCGGGUGGCUCUCGUGCAAAAGCUACUGAUAUCAACACUUUAGGUGCUAAUAUUAACAUUUAGAUAUUAAUAUGGGUAAAUAAGGUAGAAAGUUGUACCUUUUGAAAGGGUUGCACCCCAGUGAGAACGUUUGUGUAUUUUUUUCUGAGUGUACAGAUUAAUCUUUGAAAUCAUUUUUGUGCAUUAUGCAUGGAAAUCAUGAAUGAAAUCUUGUUACUGUUUUAAAUGUUUCUUUUAGACAGUAACAAGAUUGAAGCAUGGAAGUCUGUUUCUGCCACAUGACAAUCAAUCAAUCAAUCAAUAAAGGUAACAGUGACAUUUUAUCUCUGACUUUU
ensembl:lncRNA